AGCGAACGCUGGCGGCAGGCCUAACACAUGCAAGUCGAACGGACCCUUCGGGGUUAGUGGCGGACGGGUGAGUAACACGUGGGAACGUGCCCUUUGGUUCGGAACAACUCAGGGAAACUUGAGCUAAUACCGGAUGUGCCCUUCGGGGGAAAGAUUUAUCGCCAUUGGAGCGGCCCGCGUCUGAUUAGCUAGUUGGUGAGGUAAAGGCUCACCAAGGCGACGAUCAGUAGCUGGUCUGAGAGGAUGAUCAGCCACAUUGGGACUGAGACACGGCCCAAACUCCUACGGGAGGCAGCAGUGGGGAAUCUUGCGCAAUGGGCGAAAGCCUGACGCAGCCAUGCCGCGUGAAUGAUGAAGGUCUUAGGAUUGUAAAAUUCUUUCACCGGGGACGAUAAUGACGGUACCCGGAGAAGAAGCCCCGGCUAACUUCGUGCCAGCCGCCGCGGUAACAC
rnacentral:rRNA from 1 species